rnacentral:rRNA from 1 species
GAGUUUGAUCUUGGCUCAGGAUGAACGCUGGCGGCGUGCCUAACACAUGCAAGUCGAACGGAACUAUUUUGGAAACUCCUUCGGGAGCGGAAUCUUUAGUUUAGUGGCGGACGGGUGAGUAACGCGUGAGCAAUCUGCCUUUAAGAGGGGGAUAACAGUCGGAAACGGCUGCUAAUACCGCAUAAAGCAUUGAAUUCGCAUGUUUUUCGAUGCCAAAGGAGCAAUCCGCUUUUAGAUGAGCUCGCGUCUGAUUAGCUAGUUGGCGGGGUAACGGCCCACCAAGGCGACGAUCAGUAGCCGGACUGAGAGGGUGAACGGCCACAUUGGGACUGAGACACGGCCCAAACUCCUACGGGAGGCAGCAGUGGGAAUAUUGCACAAUGGGGGAAACCCUGAUGCAGCGACGCCGCGUGAAGGAAGAAGUAUCU